AACGAACGCUGGCGGCAUGCCUAACACAUGCAAGUCGAACGAGACCUUCGGGUCUAGUGGCGCACGGGUGCGUAACGCGUGGGAACCUGCCCUUAGGUUCGGAAUAACUCCCCGAAAGGGGUGCUAAUACCGGAUAAUGUCUUCGGACCAAAGAUUUAUCGCCUUUGGAUGGGCCCGCGUUGGAUUAGCUAGUUGGUAGGGUAAAAGCCUACCAAGGCGACGAUCCAUAGCUGGUCUGAGAGGAUGAUCAGCCACACUGGGACUGAGACACGGCCCAGACUCCCGGGGGGGGCAGGUGUGGGAAAUUGGGGACAGGGCGCAAGCGCGAGACCCAAAAACCCCGUGAGGGUGAUGGGGGUUUUGGGGUUAUAAAUCUUUUUUCCCGGAGAUGAAAGUCAGAGUCGGGGGAGAAAACGCCCGCUAACACCCC
rnacentral:rRNA from 1 species